rnacentral:rRNA from 1 species
GGAUGAACGCUGGCGGCGUGCCUAAUACAUGCAAGUCGAGCGAACAGACGAGGAGCUUGCUCCUCUGACGUUAGCGGCGGACGGGUGAGUAACACGUGGAUAACCUACCUAUAAGACUGGGAUAACUUCGGGAAACCGGAGCUAAUACCGGAUAAUAUAUUGAACCGCAUGGUUCAAUAGUGAAAGACGGUUUUGCUGUCACUUAUAGAUGGAUCCGCGCCGCAUUAGCUAGUUGGUAAGGUAACGGCUUACCAAGGCAACGAUGCGUAGCCGACCUGAGAGAGUGAUCGGCCACACUGGAACUGAGACACGGUCCAGACUCCUACGGGAGGCAGCAGUAGGGAAUCUUCCGCAAUGGGCGAAAGCCUGACGGAGCAACGCCGCGUGAGUGAUGAAGGUCUUCGGAUCGUAAAACUCUGUUAUUAGGGAAGAACAAAUGUGUAAGUAACUAUGCACGUCUUGACGGUACCUAAUCAGAAAGCCACGGCUAACUACGUG